UCGGUUCAGUUCCAGCUCUAAUUUCGUUGCGAAAAAAAUAAGAAUCGAGGCAUCGGCACGGACGUAUAUACUGCAAUUCGAAGAAUACACGCACAGAUUGUGGUUCUUGGCAGGCACAGACUUACAGGGCGUGUGACAGCGAUCGCUAGUGCAAAUUACCCGUUCCCAGGCAAAGUGACACAGGCAGAGGCAUCAGGAUGAGCGCACCUGGCAUGGACAAGAGAAAACUCUCGACAUCUGGCGACUCGCUUUACGAGAUCCUAGGACUUCCGAAGACAGCCACCGGAGAUGAUAUUAAAAAGACUUACCGGAAACUCGCACUCAAAUACCAUCCCGACAAGAACCCGGACAAUGUGGAUGCGGCUGAUAAGUUCAAGGAAGUCAACCGGGCCCACUCGAUAUUGAGCGACCAGACGAAGCGCAACAUAUACGACAACUACGGCUCUUUGGGCUUGUACAUAGCCGAGCAGUUUGGCGAAGAGAAUGUCAACGCAUAUUUCGUGGUCACUUCACCGGCUGUAAAGGCGGUGGUUAUCUGCUGUGCCGUGAUCACUGGUUGCUGUUGUUGUUGCUGCUGCUGCUGCUGUUGCAACUUCUGCUGCGGCAAGUUCAAGCCGCCGGUCAACGAGUCGCACGACCAGUAUUCACAUCUGAAUCGCCCCGAUGGCAAUCGAGAGGGCAACGAUAUGCCACCGCAUCUGGGACAGCCGCCACGCCUUGAGGACGUUGAUCUAGACGACGUUAACUUGGGUGCGGGCGGAGCCCCCGUUACCUCACAGCCGCGCGAACAGGCCGGAGGCCAGCCUGUUUUCUCCAUGCCGCCGCCCAGUGGAUCCGUGGGAGUCAACCCCUUCACCGGCGCCCCUGUAGCAGCUAACGAGAAUACGUCGCUAAACACAACGGAGCAGACCACUUACACGCCAGGUCUACGCCAGCCGUACUCAAGUCCCCCAUUUUAAAGACCUCCUUUCAAGAUUGUUUUCCAAGCUUUCGCAAAUUAAAUGAAAUGAUAAUUUUAAUUUCCUUAUGGAUUGCCUUGGAUUACUGUGAUCCUGCACCGCCAUAUGUUUUAUGAAGAUAUGGUUAAUCAAAAAUAUUAGUCAAGUGCUGCGAGCGAGUCAAGACCCGGGUGCAUGCGUACACCACACAUUCAGAUACAGACACAGAAAAUACAAGCCCCUAAAUCGUAACAGAAGAGAAAACCAGAUUUAUUUCAUAAUUAUUAGUGUUGUUUUUAAGAUGCGCGUAUGUUGAAGCGAGUAAACAUAGAAACCAAUGUAUUUAUUUUAAGCCGUAGCACUUAGCUCUAAUUUUAAACUAUCGAACUUCGUGGCCGCCCUCCGGUCAGUCAGGUUGAUCUUGGUCCACUUCGGGCAAUCGAUUCACCAAUUCCAUUGUUCAAGCCAUGCAUCUAGCCUGGCAGCUGUACCACUAUACCACUCGAAUCGAUAGCCAAGCCGCGCAGCCACCACUCCACCUAUCCAGCCAUGCUAAAACACCAAAACACCCUGCGGUGUUGAUGAAAUUGUAUAUCGGAAGUUAGUCUAGACAUUUGCUUGGGGAUCGGAUCCCUUCCGGCUUAGCCCGUGAGUUGGGAUUCAGUCGCGAAGAGAGGCACUGUAAUUAUAUAUAUGUAUAUGAUAUGUGUAUCUAGUUUGCAUUUGUGUCGUCGCUUAGUCUAGCUAAAUUGUUCGCGAGAUCGCCUCUUCACCGAUUGUUUCUGUUAUUUUGCACUAAAUUGUUAAAGCCAGAACUACUUAUGUAAAAAGGAUGAAUUGUCGAGCGACGCGCCCAGCAGAUUGCUCCGAUCCGAUUCUAAUGCAAAUGUAAAUACGAGUUAAACGAUUAAGCAUCACACAGUUAAACAGAGGAGGACGAAGAAGAGGACACUGUGAAGGGCGAACUAAUUAACGCAAAGAUAAAUUAUAUAACAGAUAUUAAUAAUCCCCUCUAUAUAUAUAUAACAAUUAAAUACGAGUAAUCAAAAGUUGAAUUGUAACCCCCGAAAGUAUUGCACAUAUGUAUGUAUUCCAAAUUGUUUCAAAAUUGAAUUGUAUCUAUUUGAUUUUUGUUUGAUUGUUAACCCGCUUUUAAAUGUAAAUGAAUGCGAUUAGUCCAGCAGUAAUUAACUUUUAUAUAGUAGUAUCCCAUUCUAAAUCAUUGACAUCAAUUAUUGCCGAUCAGCUCCGGGCCAGGAUAAAAGUCCUUGGGCGCCGUGAUCUUGGGCCGGGAUCCGAGGGUCGCCGGCUCAUCUAUAGUAUAAACACGCAUACAUAUAUAAAAUUCAAUUAUUGAUAAUUACAUUUAACGGUCUUGCGUGUGUAUUUAUUGUUCGUACAAGUCAAAGCAAAAAUACUAAGUAAACUAAAUUUAAACUUAACAAUUGUUUCCAAAUUUCAAUUGUAUUCUGGUCUAACGCGAAGAAGCCGAAAUAAAUUUACUAUACAAACUCA
rnacentral:misc_RNA from 1 species